rnacentral:rRNA from 1 species
CUACGUGCCAGCAGCCGCGGUAAUACGUAGGUCCCGAGCGUUGUCCGGAUUUAUUGGGCGUAAAGCGAGCGCAGGCGGUUAGAUAAGUCUGAAGUUAAAGGCUGUGGCUUAACCAUAGUACGCUUUGGAAACUGUUUAACUUGAGUGCAAGAGGGGAGAGUGGAAUUCCAUGUGUAGCGGUGAAAUGCGUAGAUAUAUGGAGGAACACCGGUGGCGAAAGCGGCUCUCUGGCUUGUAACUGACGCUGAGGCUCGAAAGCGUGGGAGCAAACAGGAUUAGAUACCCUGGUAGUCCACGCCGUAAACGAUGAGUGCUAGGUGUUAGACCCUUUCCGGGGUUUAGUGCCGUAGCUAACGCAUUAAGCACUCCGCCUGGGGAGUACGACCGCAAGGUUGAAACUCAAAGGAAUUGACGGGGGCCCGCACAAGCGGUGGAGCAUGUGGUUUAAUUCGAAGCAACGCGAAGAACCUUACCAGGUCUUGACAUCCCUCUGACCGCUCUAGAGAUAGAGUUUU